CAACAAAUGAAGAGAACUGUAAAAAAUUUCGAAGACAAACAAUUCUAGAUAAUCAGAGUAAUUCUGAUAUUUUUAAAUCGGAAUUUUUGGGGUUGACGAGGAGCUUGAGGAUGACAUUCACGUGGUUGGCAUUCACAUUCAUAGAUAAAGGAGUUCGAGGUGGAAAACUAGACUUCACCUGAAAACGAACGUGUAACUCACAUAACAGCUGUCCUGUCACAAAAGUAAAGGCCUGGAGUGAUCCUCAUAUGAAAUCGCAGGCUCUUGUGAGAUCUGCAUUCAAAUUUUGGGAAAUGCUCGAAGCUGAAUGAAUCCCGAAAUUGCGGAGUCCACAUGCGAUAGAAUCCAGAAAUGGACUCAACAUCUGUCUCGGGAAUUGCAAAAUCUCUCUGGCUUUCAAAAAAAUUCCAGGACUAUUGCAGUUCCAAUUUUCUGUUUUUUCGAUUGAGCAUGGUUUCAAUUAUCUCACACCAUCGGAAAUGCCGUAAAAUCCCAACAAAGUUGAAAAUCCCAGAUUUUUCCCUUUUCGUCAUCAAAUUAACUCUUUUUACAAAAAAUAUUCGCAAAAUAAAUGGGGGUCGCUCCAUUUUCCAAAAAAAAACAAAUUUUUUGUAAUUUCAAAGGAUUUCCGAUGGUCUGAGCUAAUCAAUUAUGAAACCCUGCUCAAUGGAUAAAACAGAAAAUUUACGUGGAAACACCCCGAAAACUCAAGAAUAUUUUUCCAGUUCUUCCAAACAACAAAAAUUCGUUAGAAACCCGAAAAUCUAAAAGACUGACUUUUUGUAUGCAAUAAAA